GACAGAGGUGCCGAGCGUUAGGCGGAAUCACUGGGCUUAAAGCGUGUGUAGGCGGGUCCGUAAGUACCUUGUGAAAUCCCACGGCUCAACCGUGGAACUGCUCGGUAUACUGCGGGCCUUGAGCCAGCUAGGGGCAACCGGAACAAACGGUGGAGCGGUGAAAUGCGUAGAUAUCGUUUGGAACGCCGAUGGUGAAGACAGGUUGCUGGGGCUGUGCUGACGCUGAGACACGAAAGCCAGGGGAGCGAACGGG
rnacentral:rRNA from 1 species